UGGCCGCAGCGGGAGGGCGAUGCCGGUGCAAGGGCAAACCGCCUCCCUGCGGCCGUUGCCAAGCGCACGCACCCGGGCUGGAAGUCCUGGCUCCAGUCAGCCCUUAGGGUCACACAGCACCGAGAAUUUCAGCUUUCCUAGAGAUGGAGAGCAGGAGCGCUCAGGGCAUACCUUGACAGAAUGCGGGGACCAGGGACAACAAAGAGGAAUGUGGACUGAGCAGAGCUUCGUGGCUGCUGGAGGAUCGGGGCUCGAGCUAAGUUCCCGAGAAUGGGUCGGAGAGGUUCCAAUCCUCAACCCGGCGUUCAAACAGGACUGGGUGGGGAAAUGCCUUGGUGGCGCUCCGGACUACAGGACUCAGGGGCGAUCCCCUCCCCCAGGCGACGGCGGAUUCCUGGAGGCUCCCAGCUUCGCGCGCCGCCUCGCAGUCGGUUCUUUUGUGUUCCGCAGCCCGGGAAAGGCCCCUGAGAAGGGGGGAAGGUGGGCAGGAGGGCGCCGGGUCUGGCGGCAGCUUGUAGGGAAAGGCAGCGGAGCAAAGGUACCGGCGCUUCCUGCAGCUACUGCUUCCUCCGGGAGCUCGCUCUGUUGCUCUCUUGUUCAGUUGUGGACUUUUCUCAUGCCCAGGCGGAGAAUGGUUUGCUCGGCUUCUUGUGGGCGGUUGCUGGCCUUUGUUAAGCAAGCGAACGGUUAAAGUCCUUUGUGGACCCCUCCACCCUAACUCACUAGAGACCCAAACAACUUGAACAAUGAAUUUGCUUUGAGCCAUGUGAGAACUUUUUUGAUUGACCAAUUGAAUAUUGGCAAAUUCAUACAGUCCGGCUUGGCGGACUACUUAUUUUUCUUAUUCAUUUGUGAAUUUACCUCUUUGAAGCACUACGGAGCUGGCGUCUGUCUGCAUGGAGCCUAAGAGGUUCACGGUGGCUCGUCUGGAGCAUCAGAACUUUAUGAACAGCACACACUGUGCUGAGUUCUUUACCUGUUAGCAUGUUAACCCGUCAACCCCAUGCAAAAGCCCACUUCACAGAGUGAAGCAACUGUCACUGUCACAGGAUUAGUGAGUGGGUCCAGAGACCUGGUCCCGUUUGAAACAGUAUUUUUGCUAUUUAGCAAGGUAUUUUACUUUUUUUUCUUUUUAAGUGUUCCAUAAAGUUUUUUAUGCACUUCCUUAUGGUUUUUAUGGUGAAGUGUUUGUUUCUCUGUGUUCUAGUUCAGUGAAGUAAACAGAUCAAAGGACGGAUUGACAACACUUGGAGCUGGAGAAAAGGCUCAGCUGUUGGGAGCACUAGACUAGAGGUCCUGGGUUCAACUCCCAGCAUCCACAUGUCAGCUCACAACUGUGUGUACCUCCGGUUUCAGGGAAUCCAUGGCAACGGGUGCAUGGUGCACAUGUAGACCCAGGAAGGCAGAAUACCCAUACACAUAAACUAGAAUAAAAUAAAUCUUUUAACACAAGAAAAUCACAACGCUUUAAGUAUGGUUGAUUUUGUUUACGAUUUGAGAGAAACAGGUUUUGUCAGUUGUCAAAAACCUGGUUUUUAAGGACCAGGAAGCUUCAUUACAAAUGAUUAGAACACUAACCCCGCAUGAGUGUAACCAAUGGAUGUUCUUGGGGGACAGUGACUAAGGGGAAGUGGCAGAGAAGUUGGAUAGCCAGUCUUAAUAACACAAGACAGGUUGUCAGGCCCCCCUGACUGAUGAAUAACUUUGGUGGAUAUGGCUGCUGUCUUGCCACUGUCUUUCUAAAAUGAGUUAGAACACUCAGCUUCAGACCAGCUCACCCCGAGGACCUCUUUGGGCACUCUAGCUGGCCUCACAAUGAGAGGUAGGGCUGCUCCCCACAGGGCUCACAAAGGUGGGCUCUGAAGUCAAGUACACCCUCAUCCCCAAAGCAGCACCCCAGAAGACAGAAACCUACAUCCACCACGGGGACCCGUGUAAGAUAAAGAGCGAGCACUUCCCAUCUAAAGAAGAAAAUGAAGAAGAUGAAGCUAAUGGGCCACCCUGCUCUCUUUUAAAACCAGUGUUUGCAGAAAUGUAGCUCCCUGGACUUCAGUCUCAGAAUCAUGUGAGAUAUUAGUUUAAAACUAACUUUAGUGGGCUUCUUUUCCUGUUGGAAUAGAGUGUAUUUAGAGUGGAAACCCAUAAUAUGCCCAGUUAACCAGGAAAAUGGCCAGGUGGACUUUGCUACUAUGACCCACUUAAGGAGAUAGACCUGGAGGAAGCAGAUUCCAACGCUUGCAGUGGUGAGGGUCUCAAGAGACUGCUCCCACCCUGAAUGUUGGGUCACUCAUCCUGCCUUGGGUGACACAGAAGAGAUGGCCUUCUACCUGAUUUGAGGACGCAGCCGCAGCAAUCCUGGGGGUAGGCUAGGAUCUGUCCUUCUCAGGAGUGCAAGCCUGCCAGCAAGAAGAUGCUUGGCUCAGCUUUAGAGGGAUGGUACUUUGAGUGAAUGACCACCUUGGAGACCGUUCUUCUGUUUCCCUUGUUACCAGCCAGGAGGCAGAAGAGUCCACCGGUCCAGGAAAGACCCAUUUCCCUUGAGUUUCCAGAAAGUACCUCAUGCUUGAGAGAUCAGGCCAACAACUAUGGCUCUCGUCUUCAGUGCCCUGCUGUUACUGGGGCUGUGUGGAAAGAUCUCUUCAGAAGGUCAGCCUGCAUUCCAUAACACUCCUGGGGCUAUGAAUUAUGAAUUGCCUACCACCAAAUAUGAGACCCAAGAUACCUUCAAUGCUGGGAUUGUUGGCCCUCUCUACAAAAUGGUGCACAUCUUCCUCAACGUGGUCCAGCCGAAUGACUUCCCUCUAGAUUUGAUCAAAAAACUCAUACAGAACAAGAACUUUGACAUCUCAGUUGAUUCCAAGGAGAUUGCCCUCUAUGAGAUCGGAGUCCUUAUCUGCGCCAUCCUGGGACUGCUGUUCAUUAUCCUCAUGCCUCUGGUGGGCUGCUUCUUUUGUAUGUGCCGUUGCUGCAACAAAUGCGGCGGAGAGAUGCACCAGCGGCAGAAGCAGAAUGCGCCAUGCAGGAGGAAGUGCUUGGGCCUCUCCCUCCUGGUGAUUUGUCUGCUCAUGAGCCUUGGCAUUAUAUAUGGCUUUGUGGCUAACCAGCAGACCAGGACUCGGAUCAAAGGGACCCAGAAACUGGCAAAGAGCAAUUUCAGAGACUUUCAAACACUCCUGACUGAAACACCAAAGCAAAUUGACUAUGUAGUGGAGCAGUACACCAACACCAAGAACAAGGCAUUCUCAGACCUGGAUGGCAUCGGCUCCGUGCUGGGAGGCAGAAUAAAGGACCAACUAAAACCCAAAGUAACUCCUGUCCUCGAAGAGAUUAAGGCCAUGGCGACAGCCAUCAAACAGACCAAGGAUGCCCUGCAGAACAUGAGCAGCAGCCUGAAAAGUCUCCAAGAUGCAGCCACCCAGCUCAAUACCAACCUGAGCUCUGUGAGAAACAGCAUCGAGAAUUCGCUCAGCAGCAGUGACUGUACCUCAGAUCCAGCCAGCAAGAUCUGCGAUAGCAUCAGACCAAGCCUAAGCAGUCUGGGGAGCAGCCUCAAUUCAAGUCAGCUCCCAUCAGUGGAUAGAGAACUCAACACUGUUACUGAAGUCGACAAAACUGAUCUGGAGAGCCUCGUCAAAAGGGGGUAUACGACAAUUGAUGAAAUACCCAAUACAAUACAAAACCAAACUGUGGAUGUCAUCAAAGACGUCAAAAAUACCUUGGACUCCAUUAGCUCCAACAUUAAGGACAUGAGCCAAAGUAUUCCUAUUGAGGAUAUGCUGUUACAGGUCUCCCAUUACCUUAAUAACAGCAACAGAUACUUAAACCAGGAGCUGCCCAAGCUGGAAGAAUAUGACUCGUACUGGUGGCUGGGUGGCUUGAUUGUCUGCUUUCUGCUGACUCUCAUUGUGACCUUCUUUUUCCUGGGCUUGCUGUGUGGUGUGUUUGGCUAUGACAAGCAUGCCACCCCAACUAGAAGAGGCUGUGUGUCCAACACUGGAGGCAUCUUCCUCAUGGCUGGGGUUGGAUUCGGCUUCCUUUUUUGCUGGAUAUUGAUGAUCCUUGUGGUUCUUACGUUUGUUGUUGGUGCAAAUGUGGAAAAGUUGCUCUGCGAACCUUAUGAAAACAAGAAAUUAUUACAGGUUUUGGACACUCCCUAUCUGCUCAAGGAACAAUGGCAAUUUUAUCUUUCUGGCAUGCUAUUCAAUAACCCAGACAUUAACAUGACCUUUGAGCAAGUCUACAGGGAUUGCAAAAGAGGUCGAGGUAUAUAUGCUGCUUUUCAGCUUGAGAAUGUCGUCAACGUCAGUGAUCAUUUCAACAUUGACCAGAUUUCUGAAAACAUAAAUACGGAGUUGGAAAACCUGAAUGUGAACAUUGAUAGCAUUGAACUGUUGGAUAACACAGGAAGGAAGAGCCUCGAGGACUUUGCACAUUCUGGGAUAGAUACAAUCGAUUAUUCCACAUACUUGAAGGAGACUGAGAAAUCCCCUACUGAAGUGAAUCUGCUGACAUUUGCCUCUACCCUGGAAGCAAAAGCAAACCAGUUGCCUGAAGGAAAGCUGAAACAGGCCUUCUUACUGGAUGUACAGAAUAUAAGAGCCAUCCACCAGCAUCUCCUCCCUCCUGUGCAGCAAUCACUGAAUACGUUAAGACAAAGUGUCUGGACCCUCCAGCAAACAAGCAACAAGUUGCCGGAGAAAGUGAAGAAGAUCCUUGCCUCUUUGGACUCUGUUCAGCAUUUCCUCACCAAUAACGUUUCCCUCAUCGUUAUCGGGGAAACGAAGAAGUUUGGGAAAACAAUACUAGGCUACUUUGAACAUUAUCUGCACUGGGUCUUUUAUGCCAUCACAGAGAAGAUGACAUCCUGCAAACCCAUGGCCACCGCGAUGGACUCUGCUGUUAAUGGCAUUCUGUGUGGCUAUGUUGCGGACCCUCUGAAUUUGUUCUGGUUCGGCAUAGGGAAAGCCACGGUGCUCUUACUUCCGGCUGUAAUCAUUGCUAUCAAGCUGGCCAAGUACUAUCGCAGGAUGGAUUCAGAGGAUGUAUACGACGACUCGUCCGUCUCGGGGAUGUGGCAUUUCACUUUAUGAUAACUUGUCGUUGCUCCUUCCCGCCAGUUCUGCCACCCACCUUUGUUCUGUGUCUGGUGAACAUGCAUGCUUCCUUUUGACUGCUCUCUUCUCAUCAUCUCUGCUGUUUGAAUUGUCAGCACUCACUGCAGUGAAAACACUGGGAGGGGGGGAGAUCAUGAGCCUUAAUAGUGACGCAACAAGGAAAUAACCCUGUCUCCCCCUUUUGUAUUUUAUAGUGUUGAGACUGUGCCCAUGAAAAAUUUGGAAAUCGGUAGUAAUGGUUAUCAUAAAGAUCAUUUAUAUGGUGUUCACAAUCCUGUUAUGACAAGCCCGUCUCGAUACUGACAACUGGAGUUGAAGCUGCUUGAACAACAAGAUAGUCAACAUGGAAAGCAUCACAGAUUUUGGAUAGUUUCUGAGUCUUCUAGAACGUUCCAAGUGCAGAAGAAACCUGGUGGAGACUCAGGCGGGCACUAGGAACAUGGCAUCAGUGGUCUUAGGGUAGCACUUUGUCAGGAAUGAACAGUCAUCAUGGUUAUAAUCCACAUAUCCAUUGCAACUCAUGAAUGAUUCUCUCCUGUUUUGUUUUUAACUUUUCUUUUUACACUGAUUUUCUAUUUAGACACUAAAACAUAUAGGGGUGCUUAUUCCCCCUGGAUACAUUUACCUGUGAACCAGCUAUUCCGGUGUCAUAGCUGGGUACCUAACUUACUUCCAUAUGUGAAGUGUGCUAAACACAAACCAGUUUACAGAAGAGAUGUAUUUUGUGUAUAGUAAACUGUAUAUAUACCCUUUUACCACAGUCAGUUUUUUAAACAAAUGAAUACUCUAGAUUUUUCUUCUAAAUGAGGUUACUGUUGGGGUGGUUGUGACCUAGUGAUGCUGUAGAAAGGAGUCUGCAUUCACUAAAAGUGUGUCAACCUAGAGCAGGCAAUGCCCUUCCUUGUGGAUUUCUGUCUGCUCGUUUUGGAGCUACCUGCGGUUUAGAAAUAGAAUUCAAGAACAAUCACGGAGUUUCCCACUUGAUGCCACUGCCAAAGUCAGAACAAGGGAUCUUGAGAGAAGGAACUGUCGCUCAGCUGGGAGCGGAAUCAUUAUCGCAAUCACAGGUCCUGGUUCACAGUUUAGUGGCACUCUCUGGUUUGUAAGAAUGGGCAUUACGUUCAGUGUCAUCUGGUCAUCUGUGAUGUGUGUCAUCAGCCUGUCCUGAUGUUGAGAUUUAAAAUAAAGCAUGAAUGAACAGAG